GAUGAACGCUAGCGAUAGGCCUAACACAUGCAAGUCGAGGGGCAUCACAUGAGGCAGCAAUGCCGAUGGUGGCGACCGGCGCACGGGUGAGUAACACGUAUGCAACCUGCCUUCAACAAGGGGAUAACCCGUUGAAAAACGGACUAAUACCCUAUAAUACAGGGGUCCCGCAUGGGGAUAUUUGUUAAAGAUUGAUCGGUUGAAGAUGGGCAUGCGUUCCAUUAGCUGGUUGGUGAGGUAACGGCUCACCAAGGCAACGAUGGAUAGGGGAACUGAGAGGUUUAUCCCCCACACUGGUACUGAGACACGGACCAGACUCCUACGGGAGGCAGCAGUGAGGAAUAUUGGUCAAUGGACGCAAGUCUGAACCAGCCACGUCGCGUGAAGGAAGACGGCCCUACGGGUUGUAAACUUCUUUUGUAAGGGAAUAAAGUGUAGUACGCGUACUAUUUUGCAUGUACCUUA
rnacentral:rRNA from 1 species